GUGGGUACUGCCGGUUUCUGCACGGUGGGUACCGCCGUCUUCUGGCUGGUGGGUACCGCCGUCUUCUGGCUGGUGGGUACCGCCGUCUUCUGGCUGGUGGGUACCGCCGUCUUCUGGCUGGUGGGUACCGCCGUCUUCUGGCUGGUGGGUACCGCCGUCUUCUGGCUGGUAGGUACCGCCGUCUUCUGGCUGGUAGGUACCGCCGUCUUCUGCAUGGUAGGUACCGCCGUCUUCUGGCCGGUAGGUACCGCCGUCUUCUGGCCGGUAGGUACCGCCGUCUUCUGGCCGGUAGGUACCGCCGUCUUCUGGCCGGUAGGUACCGCCGUCUUCUGGCCGGUAGGUACCGCCGUCUUCUGGCCGGUAGGUACCGCCGUCUUCUGGCCGGUAGGUACCGCCGUCUUCUGGCCGGUAGGUACCGCCGUCUUCUGGCCGGUAGGUACCGCCGUCUUCUGGCCGGUAGGUACCGCCGUCUUCUGGCCGGUAGGUACCGCCGUCUUCUGGCCGGUAGGUACCGCCGUCUUCUGGCCGGUAGGUACUCCUGGCUUCUGCAUGGUAGGUACUGCCGUCUUCUGGACGGUAGGUACCCCUGGCUUCUGCAUGGUAGGCACUGCUGUCUUCUGGCCGGUAGGUUUUGAGUCCU